GCCAGUUUUUUUAAUUUAAAAUUUCACUUAGAAUGUGCGGAUCCCCGAAAGGUGCAUGAGUACGAGGUUUGUUAUGAUUUGCCCGCCAAAAAAUGGUCAAUUAAAAUUCAGAAUAAUUUCAUCUGUUGUAAAAUGACCUGCUAACUCGCUGUUAAUAACAGGGACUAUCGACACGUCUGGUAGCUCUUGUGCCAGACAGAGACAGCCAUAUUGUUAUACACAAUUUACCAUCUUGGUGUUGGUGUGAGCGAAAAAUGCGAUUUUUGGGCCCAAAAAACGAAAUAAAUACACAAUUCCCGACUUAAAUUGGGUUUUCAAUGUGGGGUCUUCAGCUCACAAGUCUCUUUAAUUUCUCGAUUUUAGAGCCAUUUUUUGCCGUUCAUAACAAGGCGGGUGGAGGCACAUUAGUGUUGGCCACUUCGUACAUCUGGCGCUUCUUGUUUCUCCUGUUGUGAGCGCUGACCACAAUGUAUAUG